CUAGCCUGCUCNCUGACAUAAAGUGUUAAAUAGCCGCGGUAUCUUGACCGUGCAAAGGUAGCAUAAUCAUUAGUUUCUUAAUUGGGAAUUUGUAUGAAUGGUUGGACAAAGAAAAAUCUGUCUCUUGCACUGAAAUUGAAUUUAACUUCUAAGUGAAAAGGCUUAGAUUAUCCAGAGGGACGAUAAGACCCUAUAAAGCUUUAUAAAUUUAUUAAUUUCGUUUAUUUUUUAUUAUAAUAAUGAUGAUAAGAGAAUUUAUUUGGUUGGGGCAACCGAAGUAUAAUUUUAAAUAACUGCUAUAAUUUAAUACAAUGAUUUUUGUCUUAUACAAUAAUUGAUCCUCAAAGAGAUUAAAGACCAAGUUACUUUAGGGAUAACAGCGUAAUUUAUCCUGAGAGUUCUUAUCAAAGGAAAAGUUUGCGACCUCGAUGUUGAAUUAAAAUGUCUACCUAGUGCAGCAGCUAGGAAAGAAGGUCUGUUCGACCUUUAAUUUUUUACAUGAUC
rnacentral:rRNA from 1 species